GCCGGGCGUGGUGGUGCACGCCUGUAAUCUCAGCUACUUGGGAGGCUGAGACAGGAGAAUUGCUUGAACCCGGGAGGCAGAGGUUGCAGUGAGCUGAGAUCGUGCCACUGCACUCCAGCCUGGGCGACAGAGCGAGACUCCGUCUCAA
rnacentral:SRP_RNA from 1 species